CACAAUUGUUUCAUCCGCCGCUCCACCUUUCUCUACAAACCCUAGAUCCUCCACCGCACCUCCACCUUUCAUCCAUGGAACCGGUCGUCGCCAUCACCGUCUUCUCCCCUUUCAUCCAUGGAACCGGUACCGUUUUUUACCCUAUCUUUUGAAGACGAAGACCGAUGAACAGGUGAAAGAGAGAACACUGCGGCUUGGUUCAAGAACCUUCAAAUUCAGCCUUAGUGAAAUGUGAAUACAGUUGAAGAUGAAGACCGUGGGGUCUUCAUUCUUUUGUGAGCAUCAUGUUGGCUGUUUGCUGGAUGCACUCGC